UACGUAGGUGGCAAGCGUUGUCCGGAUUUACUGGGCGUAAAGCGUGCGCAGGCGGUUCGGAAAGAAAGAUGUGAAAUCCCAGAGCUUAACUUUGGAACUGCAUUUUUAACUACCGGGCUAGAGUGUGUCAGAGGGAGGUGGAAUUCCGCGUGUAGCAGUGAAAUGCGUAGAUAUGCGGAGGAACACCGAUGGCGAAGGCAGCCUCCUGGGAUAACACUGACGCUCAUGCACGAAAGCGUGGGGAGCAAACAGGAUUAGAUACCCUGGUAGUCCACGCCCUAAACGAUGUCAACUAGCUGUUGGGGCCUUCGGGCCUUAGUAGCGCAGCUAACGCGUGAAGUUGACCGCCUGGGGAGUACGGUCGCAAGAUUAAA
rnacentral:rRNA from 1 species